UACGUAGGGUCCGAGCGUUUGUCCGGAAUUAUUGGGCGUAAAGGGCUCGUAGGCGGUUUGUCACGUCGGGAGUGAAAACUCAGGGCUCAACCCUGAGCGUGCUUCCGAUACGGGGCAGACUAGAGGUAUGCAGGGGGAGAACGGAAUUCCUGGUGUAGCGGUGGAAUGCGCAGAUAUCAGGAGGAACACCGGUGGCGAAGGCGGUUCUCUGGGCCGUAACUGACGCUGGGGAGCGAAAGCAUGGGGAGCGAACGAGG
rnacentral:rRNA from 1 species